rnacentral:rRNA from 1 species
CCGCACGCGCGCUACACUGAAGGAAUCAGCGUGUGUUCUCCCUGAUCCGAAAGGACCGGGUCACCCGUUGCACCUCCUUCGUGCUAGGGAUUGUGGCUUGCAAUUGUUCCACAUGAACGAGGAAUUCCCAGUAAGCACGCGUCAUAAGCUCGUGUUGAUUACGU